GACGAACGCUGGCGGCGUGCCUAAUACAUGCAAGUCGAACGCAGUUUCGAACGGGUGAGUAAAGCGUAGGUAAACGCCUCAUAGCGGGGGAUACCUAUUGGCAACGAUAGCUAAAACCCCACACUUUGAGAUGGACCUGCGGUGGAUUAGCUAGUUGGUGAGGUAAAGGCCCACCAAGGCGAAGAUACAUAGCCGACCUGAGAGGGUGAACGGCCAAAUCGGGACUGAGAAACGGCCCAGACUCAUACGGGAGGCAGCAGUAGGGAAUCUUCGGCAAUGGACGGAAGUCUGACCGAGCAACGCCGCGUGAGUGAAGAAGGUUUUCGGAUCGUAAAGCUCUGUUGUUAGAGAAGCGGUACCUAAACAGAAAGGGACGGCUAACUACGUGCCAGCAGCCGCGGUAAUUC
rnacentral:rRNA from 1 species